GUUGACGUUGCCCCAGUAGGUCUCGGACUGAGGGUGCUCCAGCGGGUCACCGUACACCUCGCUGGUGCUGGUUAGCAAAAACCGCGCACCGACGCGCUUCGCCAGCCCAAGCAUGUUGAGCGUUCCCACCACAUUUGAUAUAAUGGUCUUGACGGGGUUGAACUUGUAGUGAACAGGGGAGGCGGGGCAGGCGAGAUGGUAGAUCUGGUCGACCUCCAAGAGGAUGGGCUCGACGACGUCGUGGCGGAUGAGCUCGAACCUGGGGUUGCCCAUGUGGUGCACCAGGUUGUCCUUCCGACCCGUGAAGAAAUUGUCGAUCACGAUCACGCUGUCCCCUCGUGCCAUCAGGCGGUCCACCAGGUGGCUACCCACGAAGCCCGCCCCCCCCGUCACCACUAUCCGAAGGCUCUUCCUCUUCACUCCCAGCAGCACCUUCCCUCCUGCUCCACGUUUCAUUCAACAAAAAUCAUUUGCUACUCCUGAAUCAAAUCAUCAAUAACCUCUUCCUCUUGCAUUGCUUGUUUGCUUGCAAUACAAUAGUAAGUUGUCAUCUUACCCUUAAUUAUAUAGGAGGUUAUAUAUGUCAUGCCAUGUUCAGCCACCACAUUUUAAAAAU